CUAUAUACGUCGAAAUCAUCAAAUAAACAGCUCAGGCACACAUUUCUCCACUUCGCGGUAAGUUUACAGAGCGUAUUUUAUACUUUGUGACUGAUCUUUGUCUUUGAUGUGAACAUUUAUUCUUAUAGUUUAAGGUUAUUUAAGAUUGAUCCUGUCGUAAGUCUUCUACCUGCAACCAUUCGACAAUAUUUCGUUUUAGCGUUAUCUUUGCCGUUACGUUGGCUUCGCGUUACUUUUGUUUUAAAUAUCUUGAUCGCGUUAAAAGAGUUAUUUUUCAGGCCAGUGACAUAGCUAAAAGACUUGACAUUAACGUCAUUGUGAUUUUAUAGAGAUAUCUCCAGAACUGAGGAUUUUUGAAAGCGUUAUCUGUACCUUCUCAAAGUUAUAGACAAGAUAUAUUGUUUACGUCCAACACGCAUAAGAUUACAUAACUCAAAAUUAUUCGAGCAAAACCGAUCUUUUGUUAAAAGGAAGAAUGGUUAAUAGAAAUUCGUCCUUUUGAGUGACAUAAUCGUGUAUCGUCAUCGAUCCGUAUCGUUGAACAAUGAAAAAAUUUGUUGUGAAAUUAGUGAAGAUAAAAUAGCAUUUUGUGAAAAAACUGCGGGUCUACGGAGUGGGAACUUUUCGGAUUUGA